GCCGGGGAACACGGUGUGUGUGCUCGUGCUCUCAGCUUGUUCCUGGUGUCCUCGUGGUUGCCACUUUGCAUUGCGUCCUUUGUUGUUCCUCAGGAUCUCGCUCAACCAGCUUGUAUCUGGGUUUAAAAACUGCAGUUGCUCAGACAAACACCUGCACUCAGGACUGAUAGGAACGUCUAGGAUUUGUCGAAAGCUGUGAUCAAUGCUGUGGCAGAAGAACAACAAAACAAAGAAACAAAGAAUAACACUGACUUUAUCUCGAACAGCAACAUUUGUGUGGUGUGAAGUGUCUGACUGGAACAACAGCAUCUUAGGAAACAACCAGAAAAACACAAACAAUGAAGUGUGUGUAUUCACAAAGUAACACAAUCCUGUUAGCUCUAAACCAGAUUAGAUCCUGUGGAAGGUUCCAGAAAGUGAUCUAUUUUCUGACUGUAAAGGGAAAAGUUCUAUGGAGACUGAAUUCAUUCUACAGCUGAGACAAACUCGCUGUGCUGCUGUCAGUCACAAUGACUUCCUUUUUAAUCUGAGUUUCAAUAUACUCGCCCCUGAUUUCCUUUUGUUUAACGUCAGAGAACAAUCUAUAAGACUGACUAAAGGAUAAAAAAAAAAUAAUAAUAAUAAUAUAUAUCUGUCUGAACUUGAACAGAUGUUUUCUUAAAGUUUAAAAAACCUAUUGAAGCUGAAUCAAGAAGUAAUAAAUUAA